GCAGGCCUAACACAUGCAAGUCGAGCGGUAGAGAGGAGCUUGCUUCUCUUGAGAGCGGCGGACGGGUGAGUAAUGCCUAGGAAUCUGCCUAGUGGUGGGGGAUAACGUUCGGAAACGGACGCUAAUACCGCAUACGUCCUACGGGAGAAAGCGGGGGACCUUCGGGCCUCGCGCCAUUAGAUGAGCCUAGGUCGGAUUAGCUAGUUGGUGAGGUAACGGCUCACCAAGGCGACGAUCCGUAACUGGUCUGAGAGGAUGAUCAGUCACACUGGAACUGAGACACGGUCCAGACUCCUACGGGAGGCAGCAGUGGGGAAUAUUGGACAAUGGGCGAAAGCCUGAUCCAGCCAUGCCGCGUGUGUGAAGAAAGUCUUCGGAUUGUAAAGCACUUUAAGUUGGGA
rnacentral:rRNA from 1 species